GCUGCCUUGGCUCGGUGCAUUCGUAAAGAGACCUCCGUUCAGUUCGGACGCAGUUAGCAUCCAAAGAUUCCCCCUCCAUUGAGGGACGAGUCGGAACCUUCACCGGCUUCUGAACCCUUCGCUUUUGUUUUUUUUUCGUGGUCGUCCAAGGCUACGGGACAAUACCAGUCGUGAAAAUGUAGACGAGCCGGGCAUCGCUGCGGAGCGCGACAGUAUACCUGAACCCUACGGGGUCGGUGCUUGAACAAUCCGUACGCAACGAAAUCUGGUCCGAUUAGGCUUUGAAAUUUCUUCACGUUUCGAACAAGUUCGAGAAGAAUACCUCUGAAUAUAGCUCAGUGUCGUAAAAUUAGAUCGUGUGGGCAACCAUCUGUAAGAGCACGCAAUAGCCUAGCAGGGAGAAAAGAGAAGCCCCCACGGCAUUGGAAGGUUGGAAUUAAAGGUUGGAAAGAAAAGAAAGAAAAAAAA